rnacentral:rRNA from 1 species
AGAGUUUGAUCCUGGCUCAGAUUGAACGCUGGCGGCAUGCCUUACACAUGCAAGUCGAACGGUAACAGGUUAAGCUGACGAGUGGCGAACGGGUGAGUAAUAUAUCGGAACGUGCCCAGUUGUGGGGGAUAACUGCUCGAAAGAGCAGCUAAUACCGCAUACGACCUGAGGGUGAAAGCGGGGGAUCGCAAGACCUCGCGCAAUUGGAGCGGCCGAUAUCAGAUUAGCUAGUUGGCGGGGUAAAAGCCCACCAAGGCGAUGACGGGUAGCUGGUCUGAGAGGAUGGUCAGCCACACUGGGACUGAGACACUGCCCAGACUCCUACGGGAGGCUGCAGUCGAGGAUCAUUUGCAAUGGGCGCAAGCCUGACAAUGCGACGCUGCGUGGAGGAUGACGGCCUUCGGGUUGUAAACUCCUGUCAUUUGGGAACAAACUCGGGGAGGGGAUAAUCCUUUCCGGGGUGAUAGUACCAGAAGAGGAAGUCACGGCUAACUCUGUGCCAGCAGCCGCGGUGAUACAGAGGUGGCAAGCGUUGUUCGGAUUUACUGGGCGUAAAGGGUGCGUAGGUAGUUUUGCGUGUCAGAUGUGAAAGCUCAUCGCUCAACGAUGAAAGUGCAUUUGAAACUGCAGGACUGGAGUACGGGGGAGGAGAGUGGAAUUCUUGGUGUAGCGGUGAAAUGCGUAGAUAUCAAGAAGAACACCGGUGGCGAAGGCGACUCUCUAUCCCGAUACUGACGCUGAGGCACGAAAACUGGGGGAGCAAACAGGAUUAGAUACCCUGGUAGUCC